UACAGAGGGUGCGAGCGUUAAUCGGAAUUACUGGGCGUAAAGGGUGCGUAGGUGGUUGCAUAAGUUAGGUGUGAAAGUCCCGGGCUUAACCUGGGGACUGCGCCUGAUACUGUGUAGCUAGAGUCCUGUAGAGGAAGGUGGAAUUUCCAGUGUAGCGGUGAAAUGCGUAGAUAUUGGAAGGAACAUCGGUGGCGAAGGCGACCUUCUGGACAGAGACUGACACUGAGGCACGAAAGCAUGGGGAGCAAACAGG
rnacentral:rRNA from 1 species